rnacentral:rRNA from 1 species
UACGUAGGGACCAAGCGUUGUUCGGAUUUACUGGGCGUAAAGGGCGCGUAGGCGGCCACCGCAAGUCGGUUGUGAAAUCUCCGGGCUUAACCCGGAAAGGUCAAUCGAUACUGCGGGGCUAGAGUGCAGAAGGGGCAACUGGAAUUCCUGGUGUAGCGGUGAAAUGCGCAGAUAUCAGGAGGAACACCGAUGGCGAAGGCAGAUCUCUGGGCCGUAACUGACGCUGAGGAGCGAAAGCAUGGGGAGCGAACAGG